rfam:Brachypodium distachyon strain Bd21 chromosome 4, whole genome shotgun sequence.
CUUCUAUUCCUCCGUUCAACCAAUGAUGUUUCAAAUUUGACUAAAUUUGAAUGCAUCUAAAUGCUAAUUCAUGUCUAGAUACAUCCAAAUUUUGACAAACUUGAGACAUAUUUUGUUGGACGGAGGGAGUAUAUA